GACGAACGCUGGCGGCGUGCCUAAUACAUGCAAGUCGAGCGAGCGGAACUAACAGAUUUACUUCGGUAAUGACGUUAGGAAAGCGAGCGGCGGAUGGGUGAGUAACACGUGGGGAACCUGCCCCAUAGUCUGGGAUACCACUUGGAAACAGGUGCUAAUACCGGAUAAGAAAGCAGAUCGCAUGAUCAGCUUUUAAAAGGCGGCGUAAGCUGUCGCUAUGGGAUGGUCCCGCGGUGCAUUAGCUAGUUGGUAAGGUAAAGGCUUACCAAGGCGAUGAUGCAUAGCCGAGUUGAGAGACUGAUCGGCCACAUUGGGACUGAGACACGGCCCAAACUCCUACGGGAGGCAGCAGUAGGGAAUCUUCCACAAUGGACGCAAGUCUGAUGGAGCAACGCCGCGUGAGUGAAGAAGGUUUUCGGAUCGUAAAGCUCUGUUGUUGGUGAAGAAGGAUAGAGGUAGUAACUGGCCUUUAUUUGACGGUAAUCAACCAGAAAGUCACGGCUAACUACGUG
rnacentral:rRNA from 1 species